UACGUAGGGGGCAAGCGUUGUCCGGAUUUAUUGGGCGUAAAGAGCGUGUAGGCGGCCAGGUAGGUCAGCUGUGAAAACUCGAGGCUCAACCUCGAGACGCCGGUUGAAACCAUCUGGCUAGAGUCCGGAAGAGGAGAGUGGAAUUCCUGGUGUAGCGGUGAAAUGCGCAGAUAUCGGGAAGAACACCCGUGGCGAAGGCGGCUCUCUGGGACGGUACUGACGCUGAGACGCGAAAGCGUGGGGAGCGAACAGG
rnacentral:rRNA from 1 species